CAUCUUGGAUUAAGCAUAUCAAACUGAAAAGUAAUCUAACAAUGGUGUGGAACAGUUGACAGCGAAAUGGUGUGGAACAGCAAAACAGUGAACAAUCAGUGCUUAUUGACAGUUUCGUUUCCCUGGCAUUUACAUGCUAUCAUAAACGUUUCUGACAAAACGUCUAAAACUGUAAACAUUAUAUCAAAACACAAUUAUUAUAAAAUAUUCUGUACAUCAUUAAUGUUAGUGAUAAUGAACUGUUACAUUUUGUUAAUCAGACGUAGCUUGUAGUUACUGUUACCUAAUUUUUACCGAUCACUUGAAAAAUUAGUCGUAGUAUCGCCUUUUACAUAAAAUCAGCGGAGUGUGUUUACACUUCUGCUCGUCACUGUAUAUUAUGUGUUUAUAUCGUUAUGACAUUUA